GGUGGGGCGGUGCUGGGGACCACCCUGUGUUUACUCUGUAUUUCGACCAGUGAACACAGCUGGUGGUAUCUCAGUUUCUUCCCAUCA
rnacentral:pre_miRNA from 15 species